GGGAAAGAAGCGCGUUUUAGAGCUGAAGUCUGUCCCGGCCGUGUUAGCAGCGGAGCCGCACGCCGGGCAAGGCGUGCCCGGAGUCCCGGGGGCACUGGGGGCUGUGCUCGAACGCGGGGCCGGCGCAGCCCGGGCCGUGUCCGCAGAGGGUGGCGGGGACAGACCGCGGCCCUCGGCACCCUCGGCCCGCUUCCCGUCGCCUGCGGGACCCUCCGGCGAGUGGCUUUGAAGCCGCGGGCACAGCUCUGGCAGCAGGUGGCUCUCCUGGAGCCCGGCCCGUGCCCCUGCAGCAGGGAGAAGGGCGACGCCUCGAGCGCUUUUUAUUUACAACCGGCUCCCAUUAACACCUCACCUGAUUACUGAGGAGCUGAGACAGCUAAGCAGGAAAACCCAGCAAAGCGGCCAAAGCUGAGAGGGAUCCUCCGCCAGGAACAAGGACCCACCUCCAUCUCCCGGCUGAGCACCGCGCCUCUCCCCACCCAGACCGCAGCCCUCGCCGCUCAUAAAGGAGGGCACAGUUUGGGAAGAAGCUCCUAAGGUCGCAAGGGCUCCCCUCACCUGUCCGUGAACGUAGCCUUUAGGAGCAUCCUUCCCCAAAGCAGCAAAAUACGGUACUUUCCGACGGUUAAAUCACACCCCGAGUGCGCAUUCGAUGGGGGUUACCGUCAAACCGCCGAGGAGCUGCCGGCUGCGCUCCGCCGCGGUGAGCAGAGCCGCCGUGCGCACCCCGCGAUCUGCCGCCCUGCUCGCUGCUGCCUGGCCGCGGGGACGUGUCCCUGGCGGUGCCACGCUAAGCGCGUCGCGGUCGGUGAUUUCAGUAUCACCUCCUUCGGCAAAUGAACACGCGGCUCAGUGCGCGUUUUCAGAUUACCGGGCGCUCCGAGCUUUGCUUUUCUGUGCGCGAUGCUACCCGCAGCCCCGCACGUACCCGAGCAGCGCCGGCCCGGCCGAGGGGCAGCGGUGCGGGGUGUCGGGGCGCUGACCCCGAGCGGCUCUGCCCCGGGGGUGCGGGGCUGGAGAGGGGCGGUGACGGUAAAAGGUGUUACGGGCACCGGAGGGGGAUUUAAAACAAUACCGAGGUAUUCUAUAUGUAUUUAUAAAGCAAUCAAUUUAAAU
rnacentral:lncRNA from 7 species